rnacentral:lncRNA from 1 species
GUUAGAACUGAAUAGCUCAGGAUUCUCAGCCCUGCAUUUUCCCAGCAGUCCAGACUCAGUCCUGGGUAGCACAGGCUAAUCCCUUUCUCAUCAUACCGUGAGCUCUGAGAUAACCUUGUCUCUGCCUACAUAGACCAUCACAGAAACUUUCAUGAGGCCCCUUCCUAAAAGGCAUUUGUUCCUCAGUGGCCUGUGGAGAACCCCCAGCGGUGGAGCAUGCCAGAACCCUUGGGCAGAAGAAAGAUCGCUAUGAGAUCAGCUCCCUGGUGCGGUACCAGUGUACUGAGGGCUUUGUCCAGCGCCAUGUGCCCACCAUCCGGUGUCAGCCCAGUGGGCACUGGGAAGAGCCUCGAAUCACUUGCACAGACCGUGAGUAUUGUCCCCCUGGUCCCUCAAAUGGUACAGAGUCAGGCUCCACCAAAAGGGCCUUCUUGCUCUCCCCAGAGCAUAGUGGUAGCUGGCACUGUUCUGUAGCUACCAUACCAUGCUAGGGGCUAAGCCACACAGGGAUGGCUUAAGGGU